UCAAAUAUUUGGCUCCGGGGUUUUCAAUGCUGAUGCAAAUUCUGGAACUGAACUCUUACCGGAGAGCCCAAGACUACUGCCAGGAACCAGACAAGAGAUGUGUGAUGAGAACAUACUUGAGAGCAAGAUACCCGUACAUGGAUUAUAAGACGUACAGCAUGCAUCUGUCGGGGAUGUCAGAAAAUUACAUAAAACUGAUUUCCAUUCUUCAAAGUCAGCUCCCCGCCAAGUUCGAGGAUCUAACACCCCGGCCUUCCACCCAUUCUUGUGACAGUUGUGGCAGGACAUCAGCAGAGUGCAAGAAAUGCACAGGAUGUCGCCUUGUGUUCUACUGUGACCGGGUAUGUCAGAGGAAGGCAUGGCCUGUGCACAAACAUAUCUGCAGGCGUACUUGAAGUCAUUAGGACAAAUAUGAAACGGCCUAUAGAGCUAUAGGGAUUAUGUGUGAGUUGCCACACUCAGCAAUAUUCCAGCUAUAUAUUGCGGCGGCCUGUAGAUAAUCGAGCCUGGACCAGACAAUCCAGGGAUCUACGCAAUUGGUAUACGAUGACAUGUGUCAACCCAGUC